GACCGCUCUGGUUGCCUAGUGGAUAGGGCAUCCGCCUCGGAUGCGGGAGGUCGUGGGUAAAAUUCCCGGCUGAGUCA